GGGGGCGACACGGCUUCGACGCGUGAACCGGAAGCCGCGGAAGCGUGCCGAGGUGCCCGGGGCCUCGUUAAACACCGGGAAACCUUUAGAUGCCAACGAUGGUUUGGCUCUGGCUGCGUAACUCUACGUAGCCCGUCCCCGAGAGAUCCGGGCCCGAGGACCUCCCGACGGACGUCGACGAAUCGGGCUGGUUGCCCAGGCGCGCCGUGAGCCGCGGGUGACGAGAGCACGGCGAGAGCCGCGCAAGACGGCUGGUUUCGUAAGGGGUUGUUCGUGAGCCCUCGCGGGACGAGACUUGAUCACGAACUACGCACGUAGAUGCCGUGGCGGAUGGGCUCGCGGACGCGGGUUCGAUUCCCGCCGCCUCCAUCC
rnacentral:tmRNA from 1 species